CCUACGGGAGGCAGCAGUGAGGAAUAUUGGUCAAUGGGCGCGAGCCUGAACCAGCCCAGUAGCGUGAAGGAUGACUGCCCUACGGGUUGUAAACUUCUUUUAUAUGGGAAUAAAAUGUUCCACGUGUGGGAUUUUGUAUGUACCAUAUGAAUAAGGAUCGGCUAACUCCGUGCCAGCAGCCGCGGUAAUACGGAGGAUCCGAGCGUUAUCCGGAUUUAUUGGGUUUAAAGGGAGCGUAGGUGGUUUGUUAAGUCAGUUGGGAAAGUUUUCGGCUCAACCGUAAAAUUGCAGUUGAAACUGGGAGUCUUGAGUACAGUAGAGGUAGGCGGAAUGCGUGGUGUAGCGGUGAAAUGCUUAGAUAUCACGAAGAACUCCGAUUGCGAAGGCAGUUCACUGGACUGCAACUGACACUGAGGCUCGAAAGUGUGGGUAUCAAACAGGAUUAGAUACCCGUGUAGUC
rnacentral:rRNA from 1 species